rnacentral:rRNA from 1 species
AGCGAACGCUGGCGGCAGGCUUAACACAUGCAAGUCGAGCGGGCGUAGCAAUACGUCAGCGGCAGACGGGUGAGUAACGCGUGGGAACGUACCUUUUGGUUCGGAACAACACAGGGAAAAUUGUGCUAAUACCGGAUAAGCCCUUACGGGGAAAGAUUUAUCGCCGAAAGAUCGGCCCGCGUCUGAUUAGCUAGUUGGUGAGGUAACGGCUCACCAAGGCGACGAUCAGUAGCUGGUCUGAGAGGAUGAUCAGCCACAUUGGGACUGAGACACGGCCCAAACUCCUACGGGAGGCAGCAGUGGGGAAUAUUGGACAAUGGGGGCAACCCUGAUCCAGCCAUGCCGCGUGAGUGAUGAAGGCCCUAGGGUUGUAAAGCUCUUUUGUGCGGGAAGAUAAUGACGGUACCGCAAGAAUAAGCCCCGGCUAACUUCGUG